rnacentral:rRNA from 1 species
CGAAGGGGCUAGCGUUGUUCGGAAUUACUGGGCGUAAAGCGAGUGUAGGUGGCUGUCCAAGUUGGAUGUGAAAGCCUUGAGCUCAACUCAAGAAAUGCAUUCAGGACUGGGCGGCUAGAGGACCGGAGAGGAUAGUGGAAUUCCCAGUGUAGUGGUGAAAUACGUAGAGAUUGGGAAGAACACCAGUGGCGAAGGCGGCUAUCUGGACGGUUUCUGACACUAAGACUCGAAAGCGUGGGGGAGCAAACAGGAUU